AGAGUUUGAUCCUGGCUCAGGAUGAACGCUAGCGGCAGGCAUAAUACAUGCAAGACGAACGGCAAGAAUUGUAGCAAUACGGUUCCUAGAGUGUCGUACGGGUGCGUAACACGUAUGCAACCUACCUUUUACAGGAGUAUAGCUCGGUGAAAACCGAAUUAACCCUCCAUAAUACCAUUUGAUGGCAUCAUUAGAUGAUUAAAACUGCGGUGGUAAAAGAUGGGCAUGCGUUUGAUUAGUUAGUUGGCAGUGUAACGGACUACCAAGACGAUGAUCAAUAGGGGACCUGAGAGGGUGAUCCCCCACACUGGCACUGAGAUACGGGCCAGACUCCUACGGGAGGCAGCAGUAGGGAAUAUUGGACAAUGGGUGAGAGCCUGAUCCAGCCAUGCCGCGUGCAGGAAGAAGGCGUUAUGCGUUGUAAACUGCUUUUGCCAGGGGAUAAAACGACUCUGCGGAGUUAAUUGAAGGUACCUGGUGAAUAAGCCACGGCUAACUACGUGCCAGCAGCCGCGGUAAUACGUAGGUGGCAAGCGUUGUCCGGAUUUAUUGGGUUUAAAGGGUGCGUAGGCGGCCCUGUAAGUCAGUGCUGAAAUAUCCCGGCUUAACCGGGAGGGUGGCAUUGAUACUGCAGGGCUUGAGUACAGAUGAAGUAGGCGGAAUUGACGGUGUAGCGGUGAAGUGCAUAGAUAUCGUCAAGAACACCGAUAGCGAAGGCAGCUUACUAAGCUGUAACUGACGCUGAGGCACGAAAGUGUGGGGAUCAAACAGGAUUAGAUACCCUGGUAGUCCACACUGUAAACGUUGAUGACUCGAUGUUGGCGAUACACAGCCAGCGUCCAAGAGCAAUCGUUAAGUCAUCCACCUGGGGAGUACGCCGGCAACGGUGAAACUCAAAGGAAUUGACGGGGGUCCGCACAAGCGGUGGAGCAUGUGGUUUAAUUCGAUGAUACGCGAGGAACCUUACCUGGGCUAGAAUGCCCUUGAUGGGUCCAGAGAUGGAUCGUUUCGCAAGAACAAGGAGCAAGGUGGUGCAAGGCUGUCGUCAGCUCGUGUCGUGAGAUGUUGGGUUAAGUCCCGCAACGAGCGCAACCCUUGUUCAAUGUUGCCAGCACGCUCCUUCGGGGGUGGUGGGGACUCAUUGGAGACUGCCGGGGUCAACUCGGAGGAAGGUGGGGAUGACGUCAAGUCAUCAUGCCCCUUAUGUCUUGGGCUGCAAACAUGCUACAAUGGCCGGUACAGAGGGCUGCGAUACCGCAAGGUGGAGCGAAUCCCUAAAAGCCGGUCUCAGUUCGGAUUGGGGUCUGCAACUCGACCCCAUGAAGUCGGAGUCGCUAGUAAUCGCAGAUCAGCAACGCUGCGGUGAAUACGUUCCCGGGCCUUGUACACACCGCCCGUCACGUCACGAAAGUCGGCAACACCCGAAGCCCGUGGCCCAACCAGCUUGCUGGGGGGAGCGGUCGAAGGUGGGGCUGGCGAUUGGGACGAA
rnacentral:rRNA from 1 species